rnacentral:lncRNA from 1 species
GACUUUGAGAGUUCCGCUUAUGGCUGCAGGGUCAACCAAUUUGUUGUUGGGACCCUGGAGCUGAAUGGCUUUCCUGUCUGUCGAUCCUUGGCUCAGCCCAGAAGUACAGGAAAAGCGGAAGCUGGUUCCAGACAAACCAACGCUCUCAACUCUGAAGAGUCAGGAGUUGUUAGAGAGCCUUUUCUCAGAAAGCCUGACACCCGUGUCUUUAGUCUGGCAUCCAUGCUAGUCACUUUUAACUGGCCAAUAGGUGCCUGGUAUUUAGUCCCCAAAUUCUAAGGAAAAAUAAGACAGAAUAGCAAGCAAAAGGGGUCUGAUGGUACUCACCACUUGGUGAUAGGCGACAGUCCCAUCUGGGUCACCAAAAUAUGUCUGGAAUUGGUUCCUUCCAGUGGGUUCUUGGUCUCACUGACUUCAAGAAUGAAGCCGCGGACCCUCGCACUAUGUGAAGAUUGUGCCUGCUUCCUCUUUGCCUUCCACCAUGAUUGGAAGUUUCCUGAGACCUUCCCAGCAGCAGAAGCCUAUACAGUCUGCAGAACUGUGAGCAGAUUAAACCUCUUUUCUUAAUAAAUUACCCAGUCUCAGAGUUCCCCAGCUAUCCCCCAGUGGCUUGGAGAUUCCCAUUUCAAGAGUGUAGAGUUCUACCCAGAAGGUGGCUGCGUGGACAGUGACUACAUUCUCAGCUCCAUGCCUAUUUGGGUGAGGCCCUGUGAUGAAUGGUCAUCAGUGGAAUAUGAGCAGAAGUGUUAUGUGUCAGAAGAAGACAUGCCUUCUCCAUCCUUUCUUUUCCCCUACCCUCUGGUUUGUGUUGGUUUCCAGGGUGUCCUUGGGAGGGGUUUGGGCCAUAAUUUCAAAAGACACAGUGCUAAAUACCACAAUCCCAAAUGUUGAAAUCUGGAAAGAUCAAAAUCUCUAAAGGAAGGCACACAUUUAAGAUGGCAAAGCCACUGUGCCUUUGUCCCUAAAUAAGAGUGGGGCAACUGUGCCUUUCACCACUCUGCUGUUAACCAGUUAUACACACAAUGAACUGUUACGUUAGCAAAAAAAAUGUUUCUUGUAAAGGCCACUGAAAUUGUGGAGUUUGUCUGUUACAGUAACUAGCAGUACUCUAACUAAAAUGAGCGUCUUUCAUAAUAGAGAUGAGAAUUCAGAUUUCUACUAUUCUCUGACAAAUCUCCAUAACACUUAUUUACCAAACCACUGAUUUUAAUUGUGCUGAACGGAAAUGAUCAUGGAGAGUCACUUUUCCAAUGACCUCUCUGUCCCUUGGUUUUCCAUUGUUUAAGGUGAAUGAUAAUUUCUAUCUUUUAUUUCUAUUUGUGGUAUCCAAACAAAAUCAUCAUAAAAACUCCAUUAUGGCAUAGUUAAUUGUAAAAUAAAUAUAUAUGACCAAAAAAAUUAAAAAGACUUCCCUCUUUUAAACCUUU